rnacentral:rRNA from 1 species
CCUACGGGCGGCAGCAGUGGGGAAUAUUGCACAAUGGGCGCAAGCCUGAUGCAGCCAUGCCGCGUGUAUGAAGAAGGCCUUCGGGUUGUAAAGUACUUUCAGCGGGGAGGAAGGUGUUGUGGUUAAUAACCGCAGCAAUUGACGUUACCCGCAGAAGAAGCACCGGCUAACUCCGUGCCAGCAGCCGCGGUAAUACGGAGGGUGCAAGCGUUAAUCGGAAUUACUGGGCGUAAAGCGCACGCAGGCGGUCUGUCAAGUCGGAUGUGAAAUCCCCGGGCUCAACCUGGGAACUGCAUUCGAAACUGGCAGGCUAGAGUCUUGUAGAGGGGGGUAGAAUUCCAGGUGUAGCGGUGAAAUGCGUAGAGAUCUGGAGGAAUACCGAUGGCGAAGGCAGCCCCCUGGGACGUGACUGACGCUCAUGCACGAAAGCGUGGGGAGCAAACAGGAUUAGAUACCCCUGUAGUC